rnacentral:lncRNA from 1 species
AGCCCUCCUGGUGAUGCUGACGCAUGCUAAAGUUUGAAAACCACCGCUCUAACCGCUGCUCUGACACCCUGUCCUAUGAUUUGAAGAGGAGAAAAAAAUGUUACACCAUUCUCACAGCUCUUAGACAAGUUUCUCUUUCCUCCUCUCUUCCUGUUUACAGAUUGCGACGGGGCUAAGGAGUCAAGGGAAGACCUGAGGUGACAUUUAGACUGACACAUUAAGAUGGAGACAUAAUGCAAAGGUCUGGGCGAGGAGUGGUCCAGGCAAAAGAAACGCUGGAGACAGACAACAUCUGGACGUUGUUGCUGUGAUUACCAGUCGAGUCACA